rnacentral:lncRNA from 1 species
UGCGAUGAUUAGGGUUGAGAAAAAAAAUGUCGUUUGUAUUUUUUUUGCAAAGACGAAUUUUUCGAUUUAAUUAAGGUGCGUCGGGGCGGGNAGGAUUUCGAAGAGAUGGAUGGUUUUUUUUAAUUUUUUUUUUUUUUAAAUACUUAGGGAAUAAAAAGGAAACGCGAGAUCGCGUUCGUGUGACGUGCACGUUUGAAACAGCACUGAGGUUAUGGGCGUCCAAGCGAUCGAUGAUGCGUCGGAGAAGGAAACGGGGCGCUCGUAUAGCAACUGCGCCACUGAUGUGAGUGAAGAAAACAAACGUCGUUUCAAUGCUGUUGUCAAUGCUGUUGUCAAUGCCGUUGUCAAUGCCGUUGCCAAUGCCGUUGCCAAUGCCGUGUGAGACAUUUCAAACCCGUUACGCAUUGCCUUGCUCGUUGAGCUACAAUAUCUUGGUGGCAAGAGCUAGUGAAUCACCCUGUGUAACGUAUGAAGUUUAUUAUCAUAAGCUUAUCCGGUUCUGAUCAGAAAAGGUCAACACUACCGACUGUUUCAGCCACUCUGCUUUCACCGAGUUUAGCUAAGACCAGGCAGGUUCUCUCGUUUUUCCAAGGAUUAAAUAGUAAUAAAAGAUAGCAAAUUGUGUGAAAGGAUAGGAAGAUGAAGGUAAAAUGAAGAAAUGAUUCGAAUUAAUGAAGAUUGUAGAUUCCCGGAGUUCUGAUUUACAAAAUGUAUAAUGAUGAACUAAGUUAAUUACAAAUUAAAAAAAGAUACAAAGCCUGUUGAAUUGCUUGCGAUUGAUUGUCCCCAGGAAUGCUUGGGCUGAUUGACGGGUCCGAUCCUCUCAGCCACAUGUUCUGCAGUUUCUUUAUUUUAGCACGUGUUGACAGACAAUGGUUAAGGGCAGGGAUUACGUGGAGUUUGUUGAAUUCUUAAGUAAUCUUCUAGUGAUUUAUUGUUAUUGCUUUCAUAUUUUUUUUUCGAAUGAUGCGUUUAUUAAUGAAAUCAAUCUGGUUUCAA